GAUGAACGCUAGCGACAGGCUUAACACAUGCAAGUCGAGGGGCAGCGGGGGAGGAAGCUUGCUUUCUCCUGCCGGCGACCGGCGCACGGGUGAGUAACACGUAUGCAACCUGGCCGUCACAGGUGGAUAACCGGAAGAAAUUCCGACUAAUACAGCAUAACACUCCUGAGGGACAUCCUUCGGGAGUCAAAGGAGGCGACUCCGGUGACGGAUGGGCAUGCGGCGCAUUAGGUAGUUGGUAGGGUAACGGCCUACCAAGCCGACGAUGCGUAGGGGUUCUGAGAGGAAGGUCCCCCACAUUGGAACUGAGACACGGUCCAAACUCCUACGGGAGGCAGCAGUGAGGAAUAUUGGUCAAUGGCCGGAAGGCUGAACCAGCCAAGUCGCGUGAGGGAAUAAGGCUCUAUGGGUCGUAAACCUCUUUUGUCAGGGAGCAAAGGCGUCCACGAGUGGACGAAAGGAGAGUACCUGAAGAAAAAGCAUCGGCUAACUCCGUGCCAGCAGCCGCGGUAAUACGGAGGAUGCGAGCGUUAUCCGGAUUUAUUGGGUUUAAAGGGUGCGUAGGCGGAGUGUCAAGUCAGCGGUAAAAUUUCGGGGCUCAACCCCGUCGUGCCGUUGAAACUGACGCCCUUGAGUGAGUGAGAAGUAAGCGGAAUGCGUGGUGUAGCGGUGAAAUGCAUAGAUAUCACGCAGAACGCCGAUUGCGAAGGCAGCUUACCGGCGCUCAACUGACGCUGAGGCACGAAAGUGCGGGUAUCGAACAGGAUUAGAUACCCUGGUAGUCCGCACAGUAAACGAUGAAUGCUAGAUGUCCGGGGCGAAUGAGCUUUGGGUGUCACAGCGAAAGCGUUAAGCAUUCCACCUGGGGAGUACGCCGGCAACGGUGAAACUCAAAGGAAUUGACGGGGGCCCGCACAAGCGGAGGAACAUGUGGUUUAAUUCGAUGAUACGCGAGGAACCUUACCCGGGCUCAAACGCCUCAGGAAUCAUUUGUGAAAGCAGAUGAGUCUUCGGACCUGAGGCGAGGUGCUGCAUGGUUGUCGUCAGCUCGUGCCGUGAGGUGUCGGCUUAAGUGCCAUAACGAGCGCAACCCCCACCGACAGUUGCUAACUGGUUAAGCAGAGGACUCUGUCGGGACUGCCGGCGCAAGCUGUGAGGAAGGCGGGGAUGACGUCAAAUCAGCACGGCCCUUACGUCCGGGGCGACACACGUGUUACAAUGGCAGGUACAGCGGGAAGCGACCGAGCGAUCGGCAGCGGAACCCGAAAACCUGUCUCAGUUCGGAUCGGAGUCUGCAACCCGACUCCGUGAAGCUGGAUUCGCUAGUAAUCGCGCAUCAGCCAUGGCGCGGUGAAUACGUUCCCGGGCCUUGUACACACCGCCCGUCAAGCCAUGGGAGCCGGGAGUGCCUGAAGGCCGUGACCGCAAGGAGCGGCCUAAGGUAAAACUGGUGACUGGGGCUAAGUCGUAACAAGGUAGCCGUACCGGAAGGUGCGGCUGGAACACCUCCUUUCUGGAGCAACACUCACCCUUGCAGGCAUAAGCCGCAAUGGGAAAGCAAAGACCGCCGAACAGCGGACAGGCCGUGCGGCCGCAUGGGAAAGCUCACCGACCCGGAAGCGGGUUAUAAUGAAACGACGCAGGGACUUCGGCCUCCGGGCCGGCGCUUGCACCACUCUUCAGCCCUAUUGAUCGGGGGAUUAGCUCAGCUGGCUAGAGCACCUGCUUUGCAAGCAGGGGGUCAACGGUUCGAAUCCGUUAUUCUCCACUCACAGGAGUGAGAAUCACUGAUGGACGGAGCGCAAGCGAAGUCAAUCAGGUAAAAUUCUCCACUCACAAAAAAGGAGCACAUUGACAUACUGGAAGUUCAAAAACGAGCAAAAGGCCGAGCCUUGAGACAUCAAGGUGUAGGCAUAACUCAAAAUCUCACAAUAACUCAAGAACAAUUCACGAGGGCACGGAGCGAUUCGUGUCAAGCCAAAGUGAAACCAAGUUCGGCAACGUUAAAGGAAAGGAGAGAAGGGCGCAUGAAGGAUGCCUUGGCUCUCGGAGGCGACGAAGGACGUGACAAGCUGCGAUAAGCCGCGCGUAGGGGCAAAUACCCGCUGAUGCGCGGAUUUCCGAAUGGGGCAACCCGCCGGAAGCGAUUCCGGCAUCUGCCGCAAGGCAGAGGCGAACCCGGGGAACUGAAACAUCUAAGUACCCGGAGGAAAAGAAAACAAACCAGUGAUAGCGCAAGUAGCGGCGAGCGAACGCGCCCCAGCCCAAACCCGGGCCGUAGCAAUGCGGCGCCGGGGGUUGUAGGACCGUCAGCAAAGCGAUCAGGAAAGGUUAGCAGAACCGGCUGGAAAGCCGGGCCGCAGAGGGUGAAAGCCCCGUAAGCGAAAACCCGCCCUGGAGCGAGGCGGCACCUGAGUAAGCCGGAACACGAGAAAUUCUGGCCGAAUCCGCGGGGACCAUCCCGUAAGGCUAAACACUACCGAGAGACCGAUAGCGAACC
rnacentral:rRNA from 1 species